UAUCUAUAUAUCUAUCUAUCUAUCUAUCUAUCUACCUAUCUAUCUAUCUAUCUAUAUAGAUAGAUAGACAGAUAGAUAGAUAGAUAGAUAGAUAGAUAGAUAGAUAGAUAGAUAG